rnacentral:rRNA from 1 species
AACGUAGGAGACUAGCGUUAUCCGGAUUUACUGGGCGUAAAGCGUGUGCAGGCGGUUCGGCAAGUUGGAUGUGAAAUCUCCCGGCUCAACUGGGAGGGGUCGUUCAAUACUACCGAACUUGAGGGCAUCAGAGGAAGGUGGAAUUCCGGGUGUAGUGGUGAAAUGCGUAGAUAUCCGGUGGAACACCAGUGGCGAAGGCGGCCUUCUGGGAUGAUCCUGACGCUCAGACACGAAAGCUAGGGGAGCGAACGGG